rnacentral:lncRNA from 1 species
GUGUGUGUUCCAGCCUUACAAGAGAAUGGCAGGAGGUCCCUGGGCAGGCGCAGGCCUCCAGUGGGAGGCUCAGGAUGGAAGCGGGCGCCCCUGACCUUGAAUGGCCCAAAGCCCAGAAUUCCUACCACGCCCCCGGCGUCCGCGAAGGAGCAGCCAACCUAACCCUACCUGCUGUGACCAGGUGGAGGUGUGUGGUGGAAGGGGAAAGCCGGCCGGCUGGCAAAGCGCUGCGGAGAAAGACACGAGGCUCCUGAGCAGGGAAAGCCGAGGUUGCCACCGCAGGCCUGGCACGACCAGGGCCGUGAUGCCCCGCCCGGCCCGACCCCCGCGCGCAGAGGUACCUGGAGACGAUUUCAACUGAAGUAAUGAAGGCAGUGUCGUGCUGUCGAGAGAAAGGUGGAUCCCAACAACAGGAAACUACCUAAAUCACCGACCAGUUCUGGUGCUGCCCGCGAAGGGCUGCCUCGCCCGCCGCCGCCGCCGCCUCCGCCGCUGCCGCCGCCGCCAAGGAGAGAACCCUGCCAUCGCGCCUGGCCCGGCCCAGCCCAGCCCCUAGGCAACCUGCGCCCGCCAGUGCAACAGAGUGCCCCAGGCGGCCGCAAAUGCGUCAAGGAAGGGGAAGCCACAGGCCCCAGUAAGCCAAAGUCAAGCCCGUUUGCCAACCUGCAUGUCCAUGCCUGUAAGCCCUUCUCUUGGCCAAGGAAGAAAGGAAGAAAGAAAAAAGAAACCCAGGGGCCUGUAUCCCCUGAUUAAACACAGCACAGCACUCCAGGCAGACAUGCCCGGUGGCGGCUCCUUUGCACCAUUGACCUCAGGCCAGACACCUCAGCGCCAACAAUGGGACCUCGGCCUUCCGGCUAGGUUUGCCCCAGGCUGGGCAGGAAACCAGCUCGGCCGAAGACAGGGGCCAUUUCGAGCAGUGGGACCCCAAGACAGCAAACCCAGCCCAGUCAGGACUUGACACUUAGGACAAUAUCUAUCUCUAUAGAAUUUUAGCAUGAUAUGGCUUUUUCCCCCAGAAAACAACAAAUAAACCAGCACCAAGCAAACACAAAGAAACAAAAAGUCAGAACAAACCAGCCCUGCACAGAUGUAAC